rnacentral:rRNA from 1 species
UUCCGGUUGAUCCUGCCGGAGGCUACCGCUAUUGGAGUUCGAUUAAGCCAUGCGAGUCGCGAGUCUUAGGGACUCGGCGUACCGCUCAGUAACACGUGGGUAACCUGCCCUAUGCUGGGGGAUAACCUCGGGAAACUGAGAAUAAUACCCCAUAGUUCACCACGCCUGGAACGGUGGGUGGACCAAAGCUCCGGCGGCAUAGGAUGGGCCUGCGGCGUAUCAGGUUGUAGGGGGUGUAAUGUACCCUCUAGCCCUCUACGCGUACGGGUGUUGAGAGACAUCGCCCGGAGAUGGAUUCUGAGACACGAAUCCAGACCCUACGGGGUGCAGCAGGCGCGAAAACUUGGCAAUGCGAGAAAUCGUGACCAGGGAACUCCAAGUGCAUCGGGUAAGACCGAUGCUUUUCUUGACUCUUCAAAGGUCUUGGAAUAAGGGGUGGGUAAGGACGGUGCCAGCCGCCGCGGUAAUACCGGCGCCCCAAGUGGUAGUCGCUUUUAUUGGGCCUAAAACGUCCGUAGCCGGUCUGGUACAUUCGUGGGUAAAUCAACCAGCUCAACUGGUUGAAUUCUGCGAGCACGGCCAGACUUGGGACCGGGAGAGGUGUGGGGUACUCUCAGGGUAGGGGUAAAAUCCUGUCAUCCUGAGAGGACCACCUGUUGCGAAGGCGCCACACUAGAACGGAUCCGACGGUCAGGGACGAAGCCUAGGGGCACGAACCGGAUUAGAUACCCGGGUAGUCCUAGGUGUAAACGCUGUGGACUUGAUGUUGGGGGCGCUCCGAGCGCACUCAGUGUCGAAGCGAAGGUGAUAAGUCCACUGCCUGGGGAGUACGGUCGCAAGGCUGAAACUUAAAGGAAUUGGCGGGGGAGCACCGCAACCUGAGGAUUGUGCGGUUUAAUUGGAUUCAACGCC